AUGAGCGUGCGCCUCGAACCAGUUGAGCUAGCUAGCUUUGUUUACCACAGACCAUUGCAAAAUCUUAAGAAAACUAAAACGCCGAUCCGAACAUCUUUAAAAAAUUCGAACACAAAACGGUUUUCUCGAAAAGAAAACGUGAAUAUUUUAUCAAACGCGAACAUUAUUUUUUUCACAAAUUCUGAGAAAACUCAAACAUUUUUCAACACACAAAUGAAUUUUGGAGAUGCGAACAUAUUUUUUAGAAUGGAAAUAUUUUUUAAACUCCCAAAAAAAUUGAACAGGAACAAUUUUUCAAAUUUCCAAACAAAAUUUGGAAACACGAACAACUUUUUCACGCGAACAUUUUCUGAAACUGCAGAACAAAAUUUGAAAAAACGAACAUUUUUUAAAAUUGCAAACAAUUUCGGAAAUGGAACAUUUUUCGAAACUCCGAACAAAACUUGUAAAUAUGAACAUUUUUUGAAAUUUUCGAACAAAUUUUGGAGCAGGAACACUUUUUCAAACUCCCAAACAAAUUUAUGGAAUUUACGAACAUUUUUCAAUUUUUGA
rnacentral:rRNA from 1 species